CGUUCGUCUUCUUUCUUUUUUUUUUUGUUGAGAAUCUGUGAUUCGGAUCUGAGACGAUUUGUGUGUGAUGUGAAUAUGUGAUGUCUUUGAUUUGUGUGUGAUGUGAAUAUGUGAUGUAUUUGUGAUGAAUUUUGUAGAAGUUGUGAUGUAAUUUUUUUUUAAGAUUUUGUGAUGUAUUUAGAUAUAUUGAUUUGAGAAUUUGGAGAC
rnacentral:sRNA from 1 species